CGCGCAGGCGGUCUGAUAAGUUGGAUGUGAAAGCCUACGGCUCAACCGUAGAACUGCAUCCAAAACUGUCAGACUAGAGUCUGGGAGGGGAAGAUGGAAUUAGUUGUGUAGGGGUAAAAUCCGUAGAGAUAACUAGGAAUACCAAAAGCGAAGGCGAUCUUCUGGAACAGUACUGACGCUGAGGCGCGAAAGCGUGGGGAGCAAACA
rnacentral:rRNA from 1 species